CUCCAGCCUUGGCAACAGAGUGAGACUGUGUCCUCAACCUAAUCCCCCAAAAAAAGCCAAAGGGGAAAAAAAAUAAAAAGGUCACACUUUCAAUAAUGGCCCAGCAAGGAGUGGAACCUGGGUUUGUCUGACUCCACAGAGCACCCACUUUUACCCAUGGUCAUUUCCUGUCCUCACAGGCCCUGCAGAGCUGAAGGACAUGCAUGGGAAAGAGGGGAAUCUAGGAGGAACUGGGGAGUGGGAGAGAAGAAUGAAGAUCUUUGCAAAGUAUCGCUGGGUCCUGCUUUUAGUGGCCUACAGUAAUUUCCAAUAGGGAAAGGUCCAAGUGCCCACUGUGGGCAUGGACCUCUGGUCGUCCUCACCACUCAUUAUACGCUAAUUUUGUUUUUUAUUUUUUAUUUUUAUUUUUUUUUUGAGACAAAGUUUCACUCUUGUUGCCCAGGCUGGAGUGCAAUGGCGCGAUCUCGGCUCACCGCAACCUCCACCUCCCAGGUUCAAGCAAUUGCCGUUCCUUUUGAUCCAAAUGUUCAUCCAGCAAUGUCAAUAGCUGGCUGCCUUCUCCUUUGCAUCUUAGUUAAGAUGUCCAGUCCUCAGAGAGGGCUUUUGUGACAACCUUAUCUAAAGGAGACACCUUUCAGCCCCUCUGCCAGCUACUUCUAUUCCCUCACCCUGUUUAUUUCUCACGUCUGUGAUCAUCUUGUUUAUUCAUUGUUUGCUCAUUUUCCAGUUCCCCAACUAGAAAAAUAAUCCUCAGGAGGGCAGUUACUAAAUCUUUCAUAUAUAUAUUCACCAACCUGGGCAACACAGUGAAACCCCUGUGUUGCCCAGGCUGGUCUUGAACUCCUGAACUCAAGUGAUAUCUUUUGUAUUCUUUAUUUCAUACCUUCUGCCUGACUAGUCCAGUCACUGAAACAUAGUAGUCCUUUAAUAUUUAUUUGUUGAAUGAAUUAAUAAGUGAAUGAACAAUAUAUGACCAAAUCUUUCUAGUAUUAGGAAGCUUGAAGAGUAGUGGAAAAGAGACCUUGAAAGGUAAGGUGAGAACACAGAGAGGGCUUUGAAAGCCAAGCAGAAGAAGGUACACUCCAUGUGAGCAUUGGGAGCCAGUAGAAACUCUUGAGUUACAGAAUGAAAUGGUGGCUUAGGACAGUGGCUUGGUAUGCCACAAUCUGCUAUGAAUCUGAAAUGUAAAUUACUCAUUGCAGCAUCUUGUAAUGAAUUACUACAAGAGGUAAUCAGGUCCCAGGACCCGAACUAUAUUUUUCUCCCUAUGGGAGAUUACACAGUGUGAGACCUUAGGGGCUAGGCAUUUCAUAGACUAUAUGUUGUGUUUAAUUAGUUGAUUAUGGUGAGCUAUAGACAAAGUAUUAUGGUGAAAACCCUAUAAGGCAGAAUCUAUGUCUGUUUACUGCAAGUAUCUAGUCUGAAGGAAAUAACUUUUUGUUGAAUGAAUGAUUGAGUGAAAGUCAUGUACUUAGAAGGACCCAGGUUAGAUAGGAUCU
rnacentral:lncRNA from 1 species